ACAACAAAGAAUGGCAUAGCAAAGAUAUUACAUGAAAUCUGAACAUGACUUUAAUCAUAAUUCUUUUGUAUUGGAACAGAUCUUGCAAGACAUCUACAAUAUGAACCAUAAUAUAUUUAUCUUGGAAUUAUAUAGCUUACUCAUUAGUCAUGGAUGAAAUCUACUCUGAAAGUAAAGUACAUAUGAUCUACCGAGAGAAUGACGAAAUUGCUGGCUCUGGUGUAGGUAGAAACAACAAAAUUGUGAGAGAGAAAGAAAAAAAAAUCCCAAAUAACAUGAAUCAAGUCUAUACAUGUACGAUUAAAUUUAGUUCACAUUGAUAUACCUCAGCUGUCAAAAAGUGGACAUGGUUUAGGCCAAGCUCUUGCUACUUCUUUACCCCCAUAGAUAAACAAUCUGCUCGCAACCAAGGACGUCUUUAUUAAAUUUAGUUCACAUUGAUAUAACGGUACCUCAGCUGUCAAAAAGUGGACGUGGACAUGGUUUAGGCCAAGCUCUUACUACUUCUUUACCCCCACAGAUGAACAAUCUGCUCGCAACCAAGGACGUCUUUAUUAAAUUUAGUUCACAUUGAUAUACCUCAGCUGUCAAAAAGUGGACAAGGUUUAGGCCAAGCUCUUACUACUUCUUUACCCCCACAGAACAACAAUCUGCUCGCAACCAAGGACGUCUUUAUUAAAUUUAGUUCACAUUGAUAUACCUCAGCUGUCAAAAAGUGGACAAGGUUUAGGCCGAGCUCUUACUACUUCUUUACCCCCACAGAUGAACAAUCUGCUCGCAACCAAGGACGUCUUUAUUAAAUUUAGUUCACAUUGAUAUACCUCAGCUGUCAAAAAGUGGACAUGGUUUAGGCCAAGGUCUUACUACUUCUUUACCCCCACAGAUAAACAAUCUGCUCGCAACCAAGGACGUCUUUAUCAUUUUCAUGUUUUAGGUAACUGUAAUACAUGUAUGUCGUUUGAUCAAUUGCAUCAGGUACUUACAGUCACAUGUAUAACUUUCACAUUUUAUUUUCUUCUGAUCAGAUUCCCUCCUAUGUUAUUUUUGCUUUUAUGAAGACCAACUUCAUAUAUGAGGUUGGGGUUCCCCUUUAAGCAUCAAGAUUACACAACCUAUGUGGAAUGCAGGGAUCCCAGUAAGAAUUGAUCAGAGGGCCUGAAAAUCACCUAGAAUUAGCUAUUUUGUACACAAAAAAAGCCUUAACUGUGGUCUGAAAAUAACUUGUCAGGGCCUGAAUUCAGGCAAAGAGAAAAUAAUGAUUUAAAAAAAAUGAACAAACAUGAUAAUAUCCCUCCUUUCCUUGUGUUUCUAUAUUUAAAGGGCAAUUCAUAAUAUCUGAUUGUAUUCAAACUCUCACCUUGCUACUUGUCUGAUUUUUCUGCUUUCCUCUACAGUGGUUUGCUAUCGAGAUUGGAUUUCCCUUGUACUACUCGUAAUCAACGUUUUUCCCUUUUUUAUCCUCUCUCUCUUUCUUUUCCCUUUAACAUCAUAGCACAGAUGCAUAGUAUACACAACACCUGCAUGUCAUAUAUUUACAACUUAACCACAAAAACUGAUGGAUUAAUAUCUUAGGUCAUACAGAUGGAAUACAAAAAACACUACGGUACUCAAAAUCUUUACAUAACAUCUAUAAGUCAUCUAAUGAAGGGAGAGAACUCUUCAUGAAUAUUCAUGAAUAUUCAAAUUGUAUGAAUGAUGAUAAAUAUUCUAUUUCUUAACCAAUCUCUCCACUGAUUAAAAAGAAAACAAAAUUAUAGACAAAAUCUAAUAACAUAAUAGAGUGUAAAUAUCAUUUAAUUAAUCACCAAAAUAAAUUUGUUUAUUAAAACUUUGGCAUGGCAAUUCAUUGUCUAGCAUUACCCACCCCGAAAAGAAAGAAAAUUACAGACAAAAUAUCUAAAAUGCCCACUACUAGUGAAAUGUGUGUAGUGUAGAGUAAUGCAAAUUCUCCUUUCUAGUCUACUUCUUCUAAACGUUCUUCUUUUAAAUAUGACAUGCUUGUCUGUGCAGCGGUUAUUAAGGCAGCUACUGAACGGAUUUAGUAAUCAAGACUGAAAGAAUACAUGUACAAUAAAUCCUCUUUCCAUAAUUAUAACAAUAUGGCGGAUUCACAAAACCACCUUGCGAACCCAGCGUUAAGUCAAUUUCAUGUGAUGCAUCAUGGGAAGAAAGUCAACAAAAUAUCAGCUAUGGCAUUGUUAUAUACCCUAGGAGAUGGGGGAUUUAAUCAGUUUUUGGUGGGGCUUGAAUAGCUUAUCCAGGGUAAAAUUUUGCACCGAUUGAUAAAAUAUCAAGUCGUCCUGACCCUUCUCGCACCGUUUCAGGCAUUUAGGCCAAUUUUUGGCCAUUUAUGGUCACUUUUGGUGAAUUUAGGGGUAAAUUUCCCAAUUUUUAUUAUCAGCAAAGGAGAUUUGAUGUGCUUGUGCUAACAUGUACAAAUAUGCCCUGAUGCUAGAAAAGGUGGUCAAAUUGACCCACAUCAACAACAAUAUUAUGGUCAUUUUAGUCACCUUUGGGGCACAAAAUUACCAUUUACAUUGAUUGUUGUCCAAAAUCAGGCAAUAUUUUCAGUCAGAAUAUAUUGAUGGGUGGGUUUUGACAUCCAAAUUCAAUAUACAAAUGUGCACUGAUAUCGGGAUAAUCGGUCACAUUGAAAUUAUUACACGGUUCAAACCUCUUUGGUCGUUAUAAUCGGUGGCUAGCGUUUUGCUGUGCUGCACUGAUUGAAAGAUGUCAACUGGCAAACUAAAAAAGUUUGCCGUGGGGGCGCUGUUUAUUGUGAAUCCACCCUACCAUUGAAUAUUUAAGUCUUCCAAAAAAAAACAA